rnacentral:ncRNA from 1 species
AACCAGGAGGUUGGCUUAGAAGCAGCCACCCUUGAAAGAGUGCGUAAUAGCUCACUGGUCUAGUGAUUCCGCGCCGACAAUGUAGCGGGGCUCAAGCGUACCGCCGAAGUCGUGUCAUUGCAGCAAUACGGCCAACGCCGGCUGUGAUGGGUAGGGGAGCGUCGUGUGCCGGGUGAAGCAGCACCGGAAGGUAGUUGUGGACGGUUCACGAGUGAGAAUGCAGGCAUGAGUAGCGAUUCACACGUGAGAAACGUGUGCGCCGAUUGACUAAGGGUUCCUGGGUCAAGCUGAUCUGCCCGAGGGUAAGUCGGGACCUAAGGCGAGGCCGACAGGCGUAGUCGAUGGAUAACCGGUUGAUAC